GCCCCGAAUAAAAGACCUUUCGGGACUUCGCGUUGCGAAAGUGCGCGGUGCUCGGAGCCUCUGCCCAGGGAUGGUGUACUGCUGAAGGCAUAAAAUAAAACUGAAAUUAAAAAAAAAAAAAAAGGAUAGUAAAAAUACAUAUGUUUCCAAACUCUAACAUCUCGAAAUAACGUUAACCGCUUCCCAUCCAAAUCACAGCUCCCAACAUCCAAAAGGUGCCCGGUUCCCCUUCACCACCACCGCACACCGCAGGCCGAACCCCGUCGGGCUGCCCCGAGCCCUCCGCCCCCGCCGCACGCAAAGCGGAGCCGCCCCGGGCUCACAGCGGCUCCGGGAGGGCACCGCGACGCUCCCGACUCCGCGGCUGCAGCGGGGGCAGAGCGGCGUGCGGGAUCCCUGGCGCAGAAGCAUCAUUGAAAGCUGCAGACCCAUAGGAAAAAGCUGCCCUCCUUCCAGAUCCAAACCAGUCAAUGCGAUCGUCUUUUUAAUGAUUACUAUUUGCCAACUGUGUCGUGGUUUCAGUGCUCCAAGUUUCAUCUACUUGCUUUACUGGGCACAAUUAUGUUUCUCUGCCUAAAAUGCGUUACUGUCUGGUGUUCCGAACAUCUCUGACUUACACCGAGCCAUGAGAGAGAACAGAACUCAACCCCUCAUUGGAUCACAGCUGCCAUGGCUAGCAACUACACUGGAAAAAAAGGCUUAACUUAGCUGAGUAAUUCAGGAAUUCCAACUUGAGCUCAGUGGAGCUGUCUAAAGCAGAGAACGACCAUUUGAGAAGACUCCGAAACGUGGACAACACACCAAGACUACAAAAACAGCUGCAGCUUCACCCUUUUCUUACACACUAAACUGGACAAUACUUGGAACCACCGCUGUGUCACAAUUUAGAGCAAGACAGUAAGAGGAUGUAGUACUUUAGAGUUCCUAUGUGACCACAAUGCUAGAUGAUCAAUUAGAAGUUGUGUUUAUCACGCUUCUACCUAUUGUUUCUGUCUUGCAAUUGAGGGCAUUCUGAAAAAAAUGUGGCGUUC
ensembl:lncRNA